rnacentral:rRNA from 1 species
GACGAACGCUGGCGGCGUGCCUAAUACAUGCAAGUAGAACGCACAGUUUAUACCGUAGCUUGCUACACCAUAGACUGUGAGUUGCGAACGGGUGAGUAACGCGUAGGUAACCUGCCUGGUAGCGGGGGAUAACUAUUGGAAACGAUAGCUAAUACCGCAUAAUAUUGAUUAUUGCAUGAUAAUUGAUUGAAAGAUGCUAUUGCAUCACUACCAGAUGGACCUGCGUUGUAUUAGCUAGUAGGUGAGGUAACGGCUCACCUAGGCGACGAUACAUAGCCGACCUGAGAGGGUGAUCGGCCACACUGGGACUGAGACACGGCCCAGACUCCUACGGGAGGCAGCAGUAGGGAAUCUUCGGCAAUGGACGAAAGUCUGACCGAGCAACGCCGCGUGAGUGAAGAAGGUUUUCGGAUCGUAACGCUCUGUUGUAAGAGAAGAACGGGUGUGAGAGUGGAAAGUCCACACUGUGACGGUAUCUUACCAGAAAGGGACGGCUAACUACGUG